GAUGAACGCUGGCGGCGUGCCUAAUACAUGCAAGUCGAGCGAACGGACGAGAAGCUUGCUUCUCUGAUGUUAGCGGCGGACGGGUGAGUAACACGUGGAUAACCUACCUAUAAGACUGGGAUAACUUCGGGAAACCGGCGCUAAUACCGGAUAAUAUUUUGCACCGCAUGGUUCAAAAGUGAAAGACGGUCUUGCUGUCACUUAUAGAUGGAUCCGCGCUGCAUUAGCUAGUUGGUAAGGUAACGGCUUACCAAGGCAACUAUGCAUAGCCGACCUGAGAGGGUGAUCGCCCGCACUGGAGCUGAGACACGGUCCAGACGCCUACGGGAGGCAGCAGUAGGGAAUCUUCCGCAAUGGGCGAAAGCCUGACGGAGCAACGCCGCGUGAGUGAUGAAGGUCUUCGGAGCGGAAAACUCUGUUAUUAGGGAAGAACAUAUGUGUAAGGAACUGUGCACAUCUUGACGGUACCUAAUCAGAAAGCCACGGCUAACUACGUG
rnacentral:rRNA from 1 species